CGGCUCUCCUGGGAUGAAGAUGAUAUCCGUCCUACCUCUGGCGUCACGCCCUGCUGGGGGACGGCAAACUUGCAGUCUGUUCAAGAAAGUCGUGUCCGGAAGCAUAGGAAGGGAGCUUUUGACCCAACCUGAGACUCUGGCAGUGGAGUUUUCGGAUAGACUAUUCGGGUCAAAACCGGGACUUGCAGAGAGAGGAUGAAUGAAAGGAAAAUUAUAAAUAGACGGUGUCUAUUUAUAUAGCAUCAUGUAAGUUGUCAUUUUAAAAGUUACAUUUUACGGUUUAAUCUUGUUUUCGUUUCUAAUCACAAAUGGACGGGAGCACCUAAGUUCUUAAUAGGAUCUACAUGUAUGGAUGUGAGAGUUGGACUGUGAAGAAGGCUGAGCGCCGAAGAAUUGAUGCUUUUGAACUGUGGUGUUGGAGAAGACUCUUGAGAGUCCCUUGGACUGCAAGGAGAUCCAACCAGUCCAUUCUGAAGGAGAUCAGCCCUGGGUGUUCUUUGGAAGGAAUGAUGCUGAAGCUGAAACUCCAGUACUUUGGCCACCUCAUGCGAAGAGUUGAUUCAUUGGAAAAGACUGAUGCUGGGAGGGAUUGGGGGCAGGAGGAGAAGGGGACGACAGAGGAUGAGAUCGCUGGAUGGCAUCACGGACUCGAUGGACGGGCUUUUCGCUAGUUCCGGUGCUCAGGUUUCUCAUUGCAGUGGCUUCUGUUGUAAAACACAGGCUCCAGGGCAGUCAGGCUUCAGUAGCUGCGGCGCCUGGGCUGAGUAGCUGCGGUUCCUGCGCUCUCAAGCACAGACUCAGUGGUUGUGGCAUGUGG
ensembl:lncRNA